UCCUACKUGGAGGCAGCAGUCGAGAAGCUUCGGCAAUGGGCGAAAGCCUGACCGAGCGACGCCGCGUGAGCGAUGAAGGCCCUAUGGGUUGUAAAGCUCUGUCAGAUUGGGAAGAAAACUUCGGGGUCAAUACCCCCGAAGCUUGACGGUACCAUCAGAGGAAGCACCGGCUAACUCCGUGCCAGCAGCCGCGGUAAUACGGAGGGUGCAAGCGAUGUUCGGAUUCACUGGGUAUAAAGGGUGCGUAGGCGGCUUGAUAAGUCAGGGGUGAAAUAUGUCGGCUCAACCGACAAACUGCCUCUGAAACUGUCUCGCUUGAGGUCGGGAGAGGGAGGUGGAAUUCCAGGUGUAGCGGUGAAAUGCGUAAAUAUCUGGAGGAACACCGAUGGCGAAGGCAGCCUUCUGGCCCGAAUCUGACGCUGAGGCACGAAAGCCAGGGGAGCGAACGGGAUUAGAUACCCCGGUAGUCCUGGCCGUAAACUAUGGGCACUAGGUUGUUGGAGGGAGUCUACCCCUUCAG
rnacentral:rRNA from 1 species